AAACUCUAAAAGAGAGCAGUUUUAAUUAUAUUUUAUGAGAACUCGGAGCAUUUAAGGUGAGAAAUGGCGGCUGCUGUCAAGUGAGAUUCGGAGUCGGAGUUCAGUUCAGUCAAGUGAGAAUUCCUUUGGACGACAAGGCGAAGAGAAUGAGACAUCUGCUGUCGAGCUUCUACUCUCCAGAUCCUUCUUCGACAAACGACUCUCCUUCCAACCACGGCAGCUUAGACGCUAUCGAAACUACUACUUUCAAUGCCGAUCAGUACAUGAAUCUCCUGAUACGGAAGUCGAAUUUGGAAGCGCUUCGUCAGAGGCAUGUUGAAAUGGCAGCCGAAAUUAAGAAUAUCGAUACCGACUUGCAAGUGCUGGUUUACGAGAAUUACAACAAGUUUAUCAGUACCACGGAUGCAGUUAAACGGUAACUUGUUUCAAAUCUUAAAAUCAAUGUUAACAUCCGCCACUGCUAAUUUGGGAAAAACUAUAGGGUUUGUCAAUAUUAUAUCUGUUCGUAGAUAUUUUGUUAUUUCCUUUUGAUUCAGCAAGAUGUUUGAUGUGGUAGCAACUGUUGUUUGUUCGAUCAAGUUAUCUGGACUUUUGAAGUUUGUUCACAAGCACUGUUUCUUGUACUGGAAUUUUGAUUUUAACAGGAUGAAAGUAAUAUUGUAGGCAUGGAAACAAAUAUGGAACAUCUGCUUGACAAGAUAAUGUCAAUGCAAUCUAAAAGUGAUGGGAUCAACACUUCUCUUUUUGAGAAGAGAGAACACAUAGAGAAGUUGCACCGGACACGUAACUUCUGCUUAAAGUUCAGGUAUUCAAGACUGUUAAAUCUACGUGGUGGCUAGUGAAUAAUGUGACAGCAGCCCUAAGAUUUAAAGCCAAUUUUUAAGGCAGAUGGAGAUUCGUCAUUUCAGGACUGUAAACAAGCAUCUAAGAAGUAAUUGCUAUAAUAGUAAAAAACUUGCAGGUGGAUAGCUUACAGGCAAAACUGCUUGAAAAGUUAGAGCAAUCUCUUGGAGACCUUCAGCUUAAAUCAGAUGAAAUUGAGAAUGUUUCUGUGGAGUCUAAUGAUCCUAAACAAGGAAAAGU